UACAGAGGGUGCGAGCGUUGUCCGGAAUCACUGGGCGUAAGGGCGCGUAGGUGGCGACCCAAGUCUGUGGUGAAAGCUCGACGCUCAACGUCGAGUCGGCCAUAGAUACUGGGUUGCUUGAGCACUGUAGAGGCAGAUGGAAUUCCGGGUGUAGCGGUGGAAUGCGUAGAGAUCCGGAAGAACACCGGUGGCGAAGGCGGUCUGCUGGGCAGUUGCUGACACUGAGGCGCGACAGCGUGGGGAGCAAACAGG
rnacentral:rRNA from 1 species